UACGUAGGUGGCAAGCGUUGUCCGGAAUUAUUGGGCGUAAAGCGCGCGCAGGUGGUUUCUUAAGUCUGAUGUGAAAGCCCACGGCUCAACCGUGGAGGGUCAUUGGAAACUGGGGAACUUGAGUGCAGAAGAGGAAAGUGGAAUUCCAAGUGUAGCGGUGAAAUGCGUAGAGAUUUGGAGGAACACCAGUGGCGAAGGCGGCCCCUGGACCGGUACUGACGCUGAGGCGCGAAAGCGUGGGUAGCAAACAGG
rnacentral:rRNA from 1 species